UGGUGACCAGGUAGAUGGACAUUAAACAUUGGGGAUGAAAACUCGAAUUGCUGACAAGUUUUUGGUGUGAGCAUCACAUCUCAACAACUAGAGUGAAGAAAUAAUUAUCUAGGAUGGCAAUGAAACACACUGAUCCUACAUUUAUAAUAUGGAUAAAAGAAGAAAAAAAAGACAGGAUCAAAAGUGGAUUUUAGUUGUAAACUCAGCCAUGGCAGCAAUACAAUGAAUCCACUGAAUGCAUCCUUCAUUUGACAGUGAGACAAACCCAAAUACAGUUGUCUUUCCCAUGAAAACUGCAGCUCAAAUUUUAGACAUACACCUAGUUCUCCCAUUUUAUGCUAAAAUCUGAUGAGAAAUCUUGUUAGACAGAGGUGAAUGGAUGAGCCAAUGAAAAAUAAAGACAAGGACUGCAGUGGGAGGUGCCCAAGAAUUUUUCUGACAUAAAAAGAGACACACAGACCAAUGGAACAGAAUAAAGAACCAGAAGCAAAUCCACGCAUCUACAGUGAAGUCAUUUUUAACAAAGCUUCCAAGAACAUACAUUGGGGAAAGACAGUCUAAUCAAUAAAUGGUGCUGAGAAAACUAGAUAUCCAUAUGCAAAAG
rnacentral:lncRNA from 10 species